rnacentral:rRNA from 1 species
AACGUACGCUGGCGGCACGCCUAACACAUGCAAGUCGAACGAAGUAGCAAUACUUAGUGGCAGACGGGUGAGUAACAUGUAGGUAUCUGCCCUUUGGCCUGGAAUAACACGAGGAAACUUGUGCUAAUACCGGAUAAGUCUUUACGGAGAAAGCUUUAUGCACCAUUGGAUGAGCCUGCACUUGAUUAGUUUGUUGGUGGGGUAAUGGCCUACCAAGACUGUGAUCAAUAGCUGAUUUGAGAGGAUGAUCAGCCACAUUGGGACUGAGACACGGCCCAAACUCCUACGGGAGGCAGCAGUGGGGAAUCUUGCACAAUGGAGGAAACUCUGAUGCAGCGAUGCCGCGUGAGUGAAGAAGGCCCUUGGGUUGUAAAGCUCUUUCGUCGGGGAAGAAAAUGACUGUACCCGAAUAAGAAGGUCCGGCUAACUUCGUGCCAGCAGCCGCGGUAAUACGAAGGGACCUAGCGUAGUUCGGAAUUACUGGGCUUAAAGAGUUCGUAGGUGGUUGAAAAAGUUAGUGGUGAAAUCCCAGAGCUUAACUCUGGAACUGCCAUUAAAACUUUUCAGCUAGAGUAUGAUAGAGGAAAGCAGAAUUUCUAGUGUAGAGGUGAAAUUCGUAGAUAUUAGAAAGAAUACCAAUUGCGAAGGCAGCUUUCUGGAUCAUUACUGACACUGAGGAACGAAAGCAUGGGUAGCGAAGAGGAUUAGAUACCCUCGUAGUCCAUGCCGUAAACGAUGUGUGUUAGACGUUGGAAAUUUAUUUUCAGUGUCGCAGCGAAAGCGAUAAACACACCGCCUGGGGAGUACGACCGCAAGGUUAAAACUCAAAUGAAUUGACGGGGACCCGCACAAGUAGUGGAGCAUGUGGUUUAAUUCGAAGAUACGCGCAGAACCUUACCAACACUUGACAUGUUCGUCGCGACUCUAAGAGAUUAGAGUUUUCGGUUCGGCCGGACGAAACACAGGUGCUGCAUGGCUGUCGUCAGCUCGUGUCGUGAGAUGUUGGGUUAAGUCCCGCAACGAGCGCAACCCUCACUUUUAGUUGCCAUCAUUUAGUUGGGCACUCUGAAAGAACUGCCAGUGAUAAGCUGGAGGAAGGUGGGGAUGACGUCAAGUCCUCAUGGCCCUUACGUGUUGGGCUACGCACGUGCUACAAUGGUAUCUACAACAGGAAGCAAGACUGCGAAGUUAAGCAAAUCCCUAAAAGAUACCUCAGUUCGGAUUGCACUCUGCAACUCGAGUGCAUGAAGCUGGAAUUACUAGUAAUCGUGGAUCAGCGUGCCACGGUGAAUGCGUUCCCGGGUCU